UACGGGGGGGGCAAGCGUUGUUCGGAAUUACUGGGCGUAAAGGGCUUGUAGGUGGCCAACUAAGUCAGACGUGAAAUCCCUCAGCUUAACUGGGGAACUGCGUCUGAUACUGGAUGGCUUGAGUUUGGGAGAGGGAUGCGGAAUUCCAGGUGUAGCGGUGAAAUGCGUAGAUAUCUGGAGGAACACCGGUGGCGAAGGCGGCAUCCUGGACCGACACUGACACUGAGGAGCGAAAGCCAGGGGAGCAAACGGG
rnacentral:rRNA from 1 species